AUUGAACGCUGGCGGCAGGCCUAACACAUGCAAGUCGAGCGGAUGAAGGGAGCUUGCUCCUGGAUUCAGCGGCGGACGGGUGAGUAAUGCCUAGGAAUCUGCCUGGUAGUGGGGGAUAACGUCCGGAAACGGGCGCUAAUACCGCAUACGUCCUGAGGGAGAAAGUGGGGGAUCUUCGGACCUCACGCUAUCAGAUGAGCCUAGGUCGGAUUAGCUAGUUGGUGGGGUAAAGGCCUACCAAGGCGACGAUCCGUAACUGGUCUGAGAGGAUGAUCAGUCACCCUGGAACUGAGACACGGUCCAGACCCCGAGGGGGGGCAGCAGGGGGGAAUAUGGGAAGAGGGGGGAAAUCCUGAUCCAGCCAGGCCGGGUGUGUGAAGAAGGUCUUCGGAUUGUAAAGCACUUUAAGUUGGGAGGAAGGGCAGUAAGUUAAAACCUGGCUGUUUUGACGUUACCAACAAAAAAAGCCCCGGCAAACUUCGG
rnacentral:rRNA from 1 species